rnacentral:lncRNA from 1 species
UUGAAAUUGGCCUAGCCCUGGCCCUCAUGUCGAUGCUCCUAGCCCAUGCCUCGGCCCAAUCAGGCUGCACGACGGUGAUCGUGAGCCUUGCACCUUGCCUGAACUACAUCACCGGCAAUUCUUCGACCCCAUCCUCCUCAUGCUGCUCUCAGCUAGCCAGCGUCGUGCAGUCCCAGCCUCGGUGCCUCUGCACGGUCCUCAAUGGCGGUGCAUCGUCGCUCGGAAUCACCAUAAAUCAAACCCGGGCCUUAGCUCUCCCUGGGGCCUGCAAGGUCCAAACACCACCUGUUAGCCAAUGCAACGGUAGGCUUAUCCGUUAAACUCCCUUCACAUUUAACCAUUUUGGACUCUAUAGCUUAUGUAAUUCAGAGACAUUGGCUACACUGAUGGUUGUGGGCUUUGGCAGCUGUGGGCAGUGGACCAGCAGCCACACCAGCGGAAUCUCCCAAAGCGCCAACCACUCCUGUGACUCCAUCCACACCAUCGACCCCAUCAAACCCUUCUCCAGAGACCCCAACUACACCGUCAGUUCCGAGCAGUACUCCGACCACCCCAUCAAGUCCUUCAGGUGCAACGAUGCAACAAUGAUCCCAGUUAUUUAAGUGAUCUUAAAAGAAAUGAACAAACAUAGUUCAAUUUCUACACGUUUAAACAGAGGAUAAGAAAAAAGCCUAAAACAAUGAUCAGACGUCAGCAGGAUUGAUGAAAUGAAUACCCCAUCAAAGAGGGGAUGAUCAUUUAGUUAUGAAGGCUUUCUGCUUGCUAACAAACUUGUCUUCUCGAUUGAUGCAGAGAGUGGUUCCAAGACCGUCCCCUCGACUGCUGGUGAAUCCUCGGAUGGAAGUUCCAACAAGUCCGGCCGUUCUGUGAUGAUCUCCAUCCUCUUCUUUGUUGCAUGUGUCUCACUCACCAGCUUCUAGGUCUACUGCAUGGUGUGGAUGGUGUUUUGCUUGUUAUCAGAUUCUGUCACACCCUUGUGCGUGCUCUUCUGUUUCUUUCUGUUGAUGUUUGUUCUGUAUACAUAUUUGGGAUACUUUGUACAGGCUCGUCAGAUCUUUUGAAUGCAUGCUUUUUGAUUUUGAUUUUGCUGAUGUACAUUUCUUUGUGGUUGAGUGGUGCAAUCCUCUCUGAAACUCGAAGGGGGAAAAAUUAAACUAAACUCAAAGGGUAGAGAUUUCUUAAACUAACCCCAAGGGCCAUUCAGACUUGCAAUUAGAAAAGAUCAGAACUUAAAAUGUAAAUGAAACAUCAACAGUAAAACAAAGACGAGGGAAUAUUCACAUGAUGAACAACCAUAACCAUUGCCCAAUCAUUCUUGCGGUUACUACAGCCAAGCUUGUGCUUAUUAGCCUAUCUGGACUAGCAGUUGUUAGAUAGGGCAUUGUGAGUACAAAACUCCAGUUCAUUGCUUUUAAUGACUGGUCUUUCCUAGGUGACUCCAAUUCAUUGCCUGUUUUUGGUGGAAUCUGGGCAAGCGCAAAAGUCUACCUGCUCUGCUAGCAGGGCAGCAAUUCUGACCUCAUCUUGGACCAAAUGGUUGGCAACUUUUUGACAGAUUUUUCUGUUAGAGGCGCUGAUGACAGAGGAUGGAAAUCUUCUUUUUCAGACGGUCAAAAUGUGCUGAUGGUUCCAUUGCGCCAUUGUUUCUUCUGCGCCUUGGAUGGAGGGUAAAAGAUUUUAGAGAAAGAAUUUGUAAAAAUCUCACCAUAUUCACCGGGAUAGUGUUGUGAUAUACAUAAUUAUGAUUACAAGAAUCAAAUAUAAAUUCAAAUAUUUCUAAUUUGCAGAUUACACAAUCAUAUUCAUCAUAUUCACCAGGGUGAGUCUGCUCAUAUUAUAUAGUGGUGUGACAUGCAUAAUUAUGGUUACAAGAAUUAAAUAUAAAUUCAAAUAUUUUUAAUUUAUAGAUUACACAAUCAUGACUUCCUAAUUCACAGAUUUCACAAUCAUAACUUUCUAAUUUACAGAUUAUGACUUUUUAAUUUACAGAUUACACAAUCAUAUCCCUGAUUUAUCUCCAGUAUUAUCUCUAUCACCCUUUGCAAGCACAAUAGGGAGACAAGUACAUUGAGCUUGGACCGAAGAAGCACAAAGCAGGAUGAAGAAAGUCCUUUCGUGAGACUAUCUACAAGUUGGUCGUUAGACCUAAUGAAUCGAAUAGCCAAUUGCUUCUGAAAAACACACUCCCGAACAAAAUAAUAGUCAAUUUCAAUAUGUUUGGUCCAUGCAUAAAAUACUAGAUUAGCUGUAAGAUAGAUAGCAUAUAAAUUAUCACACAACAGGAUAGGAGGAUGAUAUAUCCAUAGGCCUAACUCUUGAAGAAGAGAUUGAAUCCAAAUGAGUUUAGUAGUAACAUUAGCUAAGCUUUUGUAUUCUGACUCUGUACUGAAACGAGCUACAGUACGUUGCUUUUUAGAGGACCACGAGAUGAUAUUUGGUCUAAGAAAAAUAGCAAACCACUAAUAGAGCAUCUAUCACCAGAAUUAUCAGCCCAAUCAGCAUCAGAAAAUUCAUGUAGAAAAUCAAUAGAGCCUAGGCAAAUAAGCAGUCCAUGUGUAAUAGUACCCUUCAGAUAGCGAAGAAUACGUUUCACAGCUACCCAGUGGUCAUGUUAGGCUUGUGCAUAAACUGACAAAUCUGGUGGACCGCAUAAGCAAUUUUCGGUCCUCUGAGUGUGAGAUACUAUAAGUUGCCAACUAUACUCCGAUAGAGAGAAGGAUUAUCGAACAGAGUACCAUCAUAUAGAGAGAUAAGGACCAGUGAUGGUAGGAGUGCUAAGUGAUUUGCAGUCAAUCAUAGCGCAGUGAGUGAGCAUAUCAUGAAUAUAUUUGGACUGCAUAAAAUGUAAGCCAUUGGAAUUGGAAUGAGUCUCCAUACCAAGGAAAAAAAUAUAGUGGUCCCAAGUCUUUCAUGGCAAAUUCCCGACCAAGGGCAGUAAGAAGGGAUGAAAAUGGUGCACCAUGAGUACCAGUGAGAAUAAUAUCAUUGACAUAAACUAGAAGAAAUAUUAUAUAGUUGGAGCUGUAUAAGAUGAACAAAGAAGAAUCGGCCUGAGAAUUGAAAAAUCGAGAUGCUGAAGAAAACCACUGAGAUGUUGGAACCAACCUCGUAGUGCCUGUUUAAGGCCAUAAAGAGACCGACGCAACUGACAGAUGAAGUCAGGUUGAGAUGUAUCAAUAAACCCUGAAGGUUGUUGCAUAUAUACUUCCUCUAUCAAGUAUCUAUGUAACAAGGUGUUCUUCACAUCAAGCUGUUGAAUAGGCCAUCCUAGAGAGACUGCAAUGGAUAAAAUGGCCUGAAUAGUAAUCGAUUUGAUAAUCAGACUAAAUGUUUCCUCAUAGUCAAUACCUUUCUGCUGAUUAAAGCCCUUAAAAACCAAUCGAGCUUUGAACCGAUCAAUCAUACCAUUAGAUUUUUGCUUGAUCUUGUAAAUCCAUUUGCAGCCAAUAAUAUUUUGGAUAGCAGAGAGUGAAACAAGUUCCCAAGUCUAAUUAUGAAGAAGUGCAUAAUAUUCUUCUUCUAUCGCCUGAACCCACUUUGGUUCUUUGCGAGCCUGAGCACAAGAUUUAGGCUCCUGUAGACCAGCAGAAAUAGAGAAAGUAGCUGGAUGUCGAGAUAUAGUAAAUCGAGGCAGAGGAAGAGAAUCAUCACGAGAUCGAGUGACCAUCUGAUGAGUCCUAGAGGAGAAACCAGAAGGCAUAUUAUUUACAUGUGCAUGAGCAAGAGGCACUGGUGGUUCAGAGGACUGAGUAGUAGACUGUGGUAACGCAUCAGAGACAUCAGAUUCUGAACCAACUUGAGAGAGAUGAGUAAUCACUAAUGGAGCAGUAGAUGGUUCAGGUGGUAGAAUUGGGAGAAUGGAGGGUGAGGUAGAUGGAGUUGUAGCAGGAGUGUCUGUAGGAGUAGAAGGCAAUGUACUAAUACCGACUGAGAUAGAUGAUUGAGAUUCAAAGGGAAAUGAGUGUUCAUUGAAAACUACUAUGUGACAACAAAGAUACGAUCGAUGCCCAAAUCUAAACAUCUAUACCCGUGGUAGUGUGGAGGAUAGCCAAGAAAAAUGCACGGACGAGAUUGUGGUUCAAGUUUGUGUUGUAUGUAGGGUCUUAGAUAAAGAAAACACAGACAUCCAAAGAUACGAAGAGAAGAGUAGUCUGGAGAGCAAUCAUAUAAAAGUUGAUAUGGAGAUUGAAAGUGAAGAGAUUUAGUAGGUAGAUAGUUAAUAAGAAAAACUACAGUUUCAAAGGCAUAAUCUCAGAAUUUGGGAGGUAAGUGAGAACGAGAAAUGAGAGUAAGCCCCAUGUCCACAAUGUGGCAGUGUUUGUGCUCAAUAGAACCAUUUGCUGAGGUGUAUGAGGACAGGAUAUGUGAUGAAAAAUGUCAUGAUUUUGUAGUUUAUUUUGAAAUGCAUGUGAUAGAAAUUUUUUGGCACCAUCAGAUUGUAGGAAUUUAAUUUUAUAGCCAAAGAGUGUUUCAAUUUAUGUACGGAAGGCGUAGAAUAUACGAGUGAUAUCAGAAUGUUGUUUCAUGACAAAAAACUACAAAUAUUUGUUGAAAUCAUCGACAAAGUAUAUGUAAUACGAAUGAUCAGAAUGUGAGAGAAUCGGUGCAGGACCCCAUAUGUCUGUAUGAACAACUUCAAAUAAUUCAAUACUUUUAUUCAUGAUAAUAGAAAAGGAACAAUUAACAAUUUUGCCCAUUUGGCAUGCAAAACAAAUAUGUGAAGUAUGAUCCUUAUUCAAGGAAACACUAGAGUUUAAAGUUCAUUCAACUAUGGAAAAGGCAGGAUGACCUAAAUGCUGGUGCCAUAAAAUACUUGAAGUAGAGGUGGAUAAGAGAGCAUGUGGGUCGAGAGAGCAUCUAGAACUUGGGUGGAAGCAGUACAAGCCAUCUUUAAUUGGUCCCUGCAGCAGCUCUUGGUGCAUAUGAAGGUCCUUAAUAAUGAAAUAAUCAGGGUGAAGUUCAAAAUAACAGGUAUUAUCACUCCCAAAUUUAGAGAUAGAUAGUAAAUUUUUGAAAAUUUUGGGAGUACAAAGGAUAUUUUUCAUAUGUAAAGGAUGAGAAAAUAUAUGUAAAGUGGAAGAACCAGAGGCAAGGAUAGGCAAACAUAAGCCAUCACUGAUAAAUACAUGAUCCAUGUUAGACUAAUCAUCUCUGAUACUCAGAUUGGCAAGAUCAGAUGUCACGUGGUGUGUUGCAUUGAAGUCAGUGUACCAGUCUAAGUCAUGUGUGCCAGAAAGAGAGCUAUGAAGAGAGUGGGCCUGUGCUGGAGAAAAACCCUGCUGACAAAAUAGGGCGGUGUGUCCAGGCCUGUUACACAAUUGAUAAAUAACUUAAGAUCCAUUAGAAGUGGUAUUAGACCUAGAAGACCCCUUGUGAUGGGCCAAAUUAUUUUGGCCAAACCCAAAAUUAUAAGAUUACAGUGUGCAGUCACCAGGUCCGAUGAGUUAGGCCAAGUUAAGUGAGUAGGCCCAUGUGAAAAUGAAAAAGGGCCUAUACGGUGAGAAGUGGGCUACACAGGAGAGUAUCCUCAUUCAUGCUGAGAAGAACCACCAUAUCUGCCAUAGUCGCCAUGCCAUCCAUGAGAAGAGCGAUCGUCGUUAUAAAUGGAAGCACCGCAUCCAUCAAUUCAGUUCACAAUCGAUGGUGGCAUGGGUUUGAGAAGCCCAGAGAGGGGUGGAGGUUGCUCGAUUGUGGCGGUGAAGUUGCAUGCUUCCUCUUUAAGAAGAAAAGCCUGUAAAUCAUCGGUGGUCAUGGUGCGCCGCAUCGAAGCAAGAGCUAAGACCAGAGGUUCCCAUUCUGAGCCGAGUCCAGUGGCAAUUCAAUGAUUCAAGUCGACUGGAGAAAUGGGUUUGCCGAUUUCAACAAACUGAUUCGCGAUGUCCUUUACUAAUUUCAAAAAUUCGAGCAUGGUUUUACCAGAUUUGCUGAGUUGUUGCCACUAAUGGUCGAUGAAGUCGGCUUGGGCCAUCAUUUGAGAGUCGAAAAGCUUGGAUAGAGUCGAUCAGACAUCAUAUGCAAAGGAGAAUCUGACAAGAUUGGCCCCAACAUUCUGAUUGAUGGAGAGGAGGACUAUGAGUGUAAACUAAUCAUGAACCAUCCAUUGUUUAUAUGCUGGAUUAGAGAUUAGGUUGCUGUCCUUAUCGCGAAUCAUGGUUGGAGGUGCUGAGAUGGAGCCAUCGGCAUAUUCGAGAAUAUGAUAUGGACAGAGGAGAGCCAACAUGACAUUUUUCCACGUGUAAAAGUUGGAUUCGUCAAGUUUAAUAGAUAGAUUUGGGAUUGUUGAAUGAAGAGUGGAUGUAGAUUGUAUGAGCGAAGGGGAUUAGGCCAUUGUAUUGUUUCAGGUAGAUGAGCAGGGGGUAGAUCUAUUGUGUGUGAGAUGAAGAAUUUGAAAAUUAUAGAAAAAAAUGAUAAAGGUUGUUCAGAAGAUGGCUUUGAUACUAUAAAAUAUUUUAAAGAGAGAAUUUGUAGAAAUCUCACCAUAUUCACCAGGAUGAGUCUGCUCAUAUUAUAUAGUGGUGUGAUAUGUACAAUUAUGGUUCCAAGAAUCAAAUACAAAUUCAAAUAUUCCUAAUUUGCAUAUUACACAAUCAUGACUUUCUAAUUUACAGAUUACACAAUCAUGACUUCCUAAUUUACAGAUUACGACUUGCUAAUUUACAGAUUACACAAUUAUGUCUCCGAUUUAUCUCCAAUAUUAUCUCUAUCAGAAGGCAAUCGGAUUCAGAUGUUCCAUGUCCCUGCGUAUGGGCUUUCUAAUGUUCAGAAUUUGAUUGAGUUUGUCUGGUUUCUUGCUACUUAUAAUUUUGAGCUCUGAACUGGUUGUGGCAUCUAAAGAGCUGGAGCUGCACCUUAGAGAACUAUGAUGAUCGUUGAGUCUGUACCUCUAAUGGUUUUGGAAGUUUGUGAUGCUUCCAUCUCUCUGAUCAAUGCUUCUAUUUAAUUUGUUUCUGUUUUCUUCCUCCUCUGCCCAUGCAACUGGUGACCUGAUCAACUUCUUAUUUGUAUUUUUUUUACACACCCUAAUAAAGGCUAGGUAGGGAUGGCACCGGUUGGGUAUUGGUCAGGUCGACCAAUACAUACACAUCCCAUCAAGAAAAAAUUCAUACUCAUGUUUGCCCCGUAUCUGUCUUGGAUCGGAUCGGAUUAGAUAAAAUAAAGAUACAAGGAUGGGUUGAAUCGGACAUACCCAAAAACUCUCUUUCGAUCUUCCAAUCAAAAAUCCCAAGCCCCUCCGAUCGAAAGAAGAAAAAAGUAAAAAAAUAAAAAAAUAAGAAAAAAGACCACUAUAUGUGGAAAAAAGUCUUAUCUUAAUCGGAUGGGAGGCUGGAGGUUUGGAGCGGCUGAAUAGGAAAGCUUAGACGAUGGCUAGGAUUUUGUUCGAGCCGAUAAUGCUCAAUCUGACAAAAUAGUAAAUGGAACCCUGGUUGCUACCUCUCCCACAUGAACAGUCUUAAAUUUUCAAUCCCGCUUUCUCUUCACUGCUAGCACCCUCCUCAUCCACCACCAAGCCCCCACCAAGCCAUCGUUAGGGUUUGGGUGUCAGGAUGGGGGUAGUGGGGACUCGCUGGGUCGGGCCGCUACUAGGGACCUAGGGUUGGGGUGUGGGGGUAGGGUGGGGAGCGAGGAUCCAUCGGGCUGCCACUCGACUAGGGUUUGGCCCUUAGUUGUCGGCUGUCGAUGUAUGGGAGGGGGGAGUAGGGAUCCGCCAGGCCGUUGCUCAACUAGGAUUUGGCCCUUGGGUCUGGUGUUGGGGGGGGGGGGAGUGGGGACCCACCAAACCAACGCUCAGCUUUGGUUUGGCCCUUGGGUGUCGGGGUGGAAGGGGGAGUGGAGAUCCACAGGGCCAUUGCUCGACUUGGGUUUGGCCCUUGGGUGUCGAAGUGGGAGGGGGGUGGGGGGAAGUAGGGACCAUAAUUGGGUUUUAUUUAAACGAGAGAGAAAUAUAUUUUAUUUAAUCAAGAAAGAGAGAGAUUAUCAGGGUGGGUUUGGGACGGCGCAUACCAUUACUCAUACCCAAUUUGAACUUGCUACAAGUAUUUUUUUUCAAAAUCCAUUUCCAUCCUGUCUUUUAAUUGGAUUAGAUAAAAUCUAUCCCAUUAAGAUCGGAUUGGUCAGGAAAAAAUGCCAUCCCUAAGGUUAGGUGGCUACUUUCUCAUGCCUCCCUUUUCUUCCAAAUUUUUUUUUAAAAAAAAAUACAAAACUCCAAGGAGAACGUAUUGGCAGUUUAAUUAUGUAGCAAGCCAUGUUUGGAAUAGAGAAGGUAAGAGAGUGAAUCAAAGAGCGCUUCGCAGUCGGCACUUAACUAUCAACUAUGCUGGGGGUUGAGAUGAUUGAGAUCAUCGCUUCAAUUAUGUCUGAGGCUCAACGAUCUAACAAACGAUUCGAGCUCUUAUUAGAAGAACAUUGAGCAAAAUACUGCUGGUCUUAGACGUUUGGAGCCUUCAAAAAGUUACCAUCUACUCUGAAGUGAUCCGUAUUUACUGAAUAUCCAUGGAAACAGAGCGCAGGUGAAGGUUUUCUUGAUUCAAUGUAUAUCCACGAGACGACUGCUUGGAUACCACGAAAACAACGUAUUAUUGGGACAGGAAAGCAUGAAGUAACGAUCAAUGUACCAGAAAAUCUGCUCAUAAUGAGCAAUUUACUUGGCGCAAGGAUAGUUCGGGGAACAAGGCAAUUGCAGUGAGAUGAUGCUAAUCAGCUAAGUGUAUACUUGAUGAAGAACAAUUUAAGAUAAUGGGAUAAUGCGUAGAGUGACCACAACUGAGAUGAAGGAUUUAUGUAGCUGGCCCCAAGUAUUUUGGAACUAAGGCUUAACUGAAUUGAGUUGAAUGAUGCAGAGGGUAAGGCUUAAGUAUCUUCGUUGGGGGAAUAUGAUCCCUGAUCCUGUAGGUAAUCAUUCUAUAGUGUGUGGGGUGUAGUGUGGGGAUCCUAACAUAGGAAGUGCUUACCUUGAUCUAGCUUGAUCCAUUAUGUUGCACUCCCUUUCCUCUUAUAGAUUCAUAUGAACUGGUUCAGUCUGGGACCCUGUUUUGGGUUUUUUUGGUAGCUUUUGUAUUGCAAACUUCUAUAGCCAUGUCUUGUUAAGAGGUAAUCUCUCCCUGUACAUUCUUUUUUUUUUCUUCAACUCCUAAAUAAAAUUCGGGUGGCAUUCUAGCUUCCCUUUCAUUAUACAAAAGAAGAAAAGAAAAAAGAAAAAAAGCCAAAGAUUUUUUUCUUCCGUGACUACCUGUCCAAAAAAAAAAAAAAAAUGAAGGGGACCUGGUGGUUGCAAGAUCCUAGAAAUUCAACUUUGAAGUCUAGUUCUGAUCCUAAAAUAAAAGGGCCAGCCUGGCCCAAGCAUGCAUUUGGCAGUAGGAGCGAAAUGGUGGCCAACCCUCAAAAAAAUAUGUUUAUUUUGCAUCGCCUACCCCAACGAUAUUCCACAACUCAUCUUAACAUCAGCUGGAUGUUACAUUUCAAUAUGACAUCCGCCAUUUCCUCAUUUAAAUAACUUUCAGGUCUUCUUCCUGAGCACUAGACGGGUCCAACAAGGAGCCGUUAGCAGGUCGAGUUAGGCCAACCAAUCUAAAGCCCGAGAUCGAGCACCUUCUCCGUUCUUCUGAAACCUCCUUAUAAAACCACCCCCCACCUCCCUCUCCUCCCCCACAACACCAACUCGACCCCUCGAACCCGAAAUGGCUCGAAGAGUGAUGGAGAUUGGCCUGGCCCUGGCCCUUGUGUCGAUGCUAUUCGCCCAUGUCUCAGCCCAAUCAGGCUGCACCACGGUGAUCCUGAGCCUUGCACCUUGCCUGAACUACAUCACUGGCAACUCUUCAACCCCAUCUUCUUCGUGCUGCUCGCAGUUAGCCAGCGUCGUGCAGUCCCAACCUCGGUGCCUCUGCACGCUGCUCAACGGUGGUGCAUCGUCGCUCGGCAUCACCAUCAAUCAGACCCUGGCCCUGGCCCUCCCUGGGGCCUGCAAGGUCCAAACACCACCUGUUAGCCAAUGCAAUGGUAGGCUCUUGUCCAAACUUCAAUGAUAGUUUCUAGAUUUAUAGAUAUUUUGAAACACUGGCUGAAGUACUGAUUCGUUGUGGGCUUGUGGCAGC